rnacentral:misc_RNA from 1 species
AUUAUUUACCCAAUUUGAUACCAAUUAUUAAUUCCAAAAAAAAAAAUUAGUUUAAGUCACAGUAUAUCCAGUAACAAGGCCUGACAGAUCAGAUGAACCAAAAAUUUCUAUCUAAAAAGAAUGGGCAGUCACUACAUUUCACUGGUUAUUUGCUUGCUAUUAAAGAAGGCAUACUUUUAAGUACCAAAAUUUGCUCAUUAUCAACAAUGGGAAUCAAAAAGAAAAAUUGAAAUCUGCAAUUUUUAGCUGACAGAUGAUUGAGGAAUAAAAGAAAAACCUUCUCCACUGAAGAACUGUCCAA